AUGAACGCUGGCGGCGUGCCUAAUACAUGCAAGUCGAGCGAACAGACGAGGAGCUUGCUCCUCUGACGUUAGCGGCGGACGGGUGAGUAACACGUGGAUAACCUACCUAUAAGACUGGGAUAACUUCGGGAAACCGGAGCUAAUACCGGAUAAUAUAUUGAACCGCAUGGUUCAAUAGUGAAAGACGGUUUUGCUGUCACUUAUAGAUGGAUCCGCGCCGCAUUAGCUAGUUGGUAAGGUAACGGCUUACCAAGGCGACGAUGCGUAGCCGACCUGAGAGGGUGAUCGGCCACACUGAAACUGAGACACGGUCCAGACUCCUACGGGAGGCAGCAGUAGGGAAUCUUCCGCAAUGGGCGAAAGCCUGACGGAGCAACGCCGCGUGAGUGAUGAAGGUCUUCGGAUCGUAAAACUCUGUUAUUAGGGAAGAACAAAUGUGUAAGUAACUAUGCACGUCUUGACGGUACCUAAUCAGAAAGCCACGGCUAACUACG
rnacentral:rRNA from 1 species